rnacentral:rRNA from 1 species
GACGAACGCUGGCGGCGUGCUUAACACAUGCAAGUCGAACGGUAAGGCCCUUCGGGGUACACGAGUGGCGAACGGGUGAGUAACACGUGGGUGAUCUGCCCUGCACUUCGGGAUAAGCCUGGGAAACUGGGUCUAAUACCGGAUAGGACUCCUGGCUUCAUGGUUGGGGGGGGAAAGCUUUUGCGGUGUGGGAUGGGCCCGCGGCCUAUCAGCGUGUUGGUGGGGUGAUGGCCUACCAAGGCGACGACGGGUAGCCGGCCUGAGAGGGUGACCGGCCACACUGGGACUGAGACACGGCCCAGACUCCUACGGGAGGCAGCAGGGGGGAAUAGUGGGAAAUGGAGGGACCGCUGACCCAGCGACGCCGCGUGAGGGAUGAAGGCCUUCGGGUUGUAAACCUCUUUCAGCAGGGAAUAAGCGAAAGUGAAGGUACCUGCAGAAGAAGCACCGGCUAACUAUGUGCCAGCCGCCGCCGUAA